UACGGGGGGGGGUAAGCGUUGUUCGGAAUUACUGGGCGUAAAGGGCUCGUAGGCGGCCAACUAAGUCAGACGUGAAAUCCCUCAGCUUAACUGGGGAACUGCGUCUGAUACUGGAUGGCUUGGAUUCGGGAGAGGAAUGCGGAAUUCCAGGUGUAGCGGUGAAAUGCGUAGAUAUCUGGAGGAACACCGGUGGCGAAGGCGGCAUUCUGGACCGACAUUGACGCUGAGGAGCGAAAGCCAGGGGAGCAAAUGGG
rnacentral:rRNA from 1 species